rnacentral:rRNA from 1 species
AGAGUUUGAUCCUGGCUCAGGAUGAACGCUAGCGGCAGGCUUAACACAUGCAAGUCGAGGGGCAGCGCGGUUGUAGUAAUACAAUUGGCGGCGACCGGCGCAAGGGUGCGUAACGCGUGAGCGACAUGCCCGUGACCGGGGGAUAACCGAUGGAAACGUCGCCUAACCCCCCAUACGAUGGAGGAUCGCAUGGUUCUUCAUUAAAAAUUCCGGUGGUCACGGAUUGGCUCGCGUCCCAUUAGCUAGUCGGCGGGGUAAUGGCCCACCGAGGCGACGAUGGGUAGGGGUUCCGAGAGGAAGGUCCCCCACAAUGGAACUGAGACACGGUCCAUACUCCUACGGGAGGCAGCAGUGAGGAAUAUUGGUCAAUGGGCGGAAGCCUGAACCAGCCAUGCCGCGUGCAGGAAGACGGCCCUAUGGGUUGUAAACUGCUUUUGAGCGGGAGCAAUAAGGGUGUCGCGCACAUCCGAUGAGAGUACCGUUCGAAUAAGCAUCGGCUAACUCCGUGCCAGCAGCCGCGGUAAUACGGAGGAUGCGAGCGUUAUCCGGAUUUAUUGGGUUUAAAGGGUGCGUAGGCUGUUGUGUAAGUCAGGGGUGAAAUGCCGUCGCUCAACGACGGAGCUGCCUUUGAUACUGCAUGGCUGGAGUGCGGAUGCCGUUGGAGGAAUGAGUGGUGUAGCGGUGAAAUGCUUAGAUAUCACUCAGAACACCGAUUGCGAAGGCAUCUGACGAAUCCGUAACUGACGCUGAGGCACGAAAGCGUGGGGAUAGAACAGGAUUAGAUACCCUGGUAUUCCACGCCGUAAACGAUGAUGACUAACCGCCUGCGAUACAGUGUAGGUGGCCAAGCGAAAGCGAUAAGUCAUCCACCUGGGGAGUACGACCGCAAGGUUGAAACUCAAAGGAAUUGACGGGGGCCCGCACAAGCGGAGGAACAUGUGGUUUAAUUCGAUGAUACGCGAGGAACCUUACCCGGGCUCGAACGGUACAGGACGGACACAGAGAUGUGAACUCCCUUCGGGGCCUGUAUCGAGGUGCUGCAUGGUUGUCGUCAGCUCGUGCCGUGAGGUGUCGGCUCAAGUGCCAUAACGAGCGCAACCCUUGCCGUUAGUUGCCAUCAAGUGAAGUUGGGGACUCUAACGGGACUGCCACCGCAAGGUGUGAGGAGGGGGGGGAUGACGUCAAAUCAGCACGGCCCUUACGUCCGGGGCGACACACGUGUUACAAUGGCGGCCACAGAGGGAAGCUACCUUGUGAGAGGAUGCGGAUCUCGAAAAGCCGUCCCAGUUCGGAUCGGAGUCUGCAACCCGACUCCGUGAAGUUGGAUUCGCUAGUAAUCGCGCAUCAGCCAUGGCGCGGUGAAUACGUUCCCGGGCCUUGUACACACCGCCCGUCAAGCCAUGGAAGCCGCGGGCGCCUGAAGUCCGUGACCGAAAGGAGCGGCCUAGGGCGAAAGUGGUAACUGGGGCUAAGUCGUAACAAGGUAGCCGUACCGGAAGGUGUGGCUGGAACACCUCCUU